rnacentral:rRNA from 1 species
GAUGAACGCUGGCGGCGUGCCUAAUACAUGCAAGUCGAGCGAACGGACGAGAAGCUUGCUUCUCUGAUGUUAGCGGCGGACGGGUGAGUAACACGUGGAUAACCUACCUAUAAGACUGGGAUAACUUCGGGAAACCGGAGCUAAUACCGGAUAAUAUUUUGAGCCGCAUGGUUCAAAAGUGAAAGACGGUCUUGCUGUCACUUAUAGAUGGAUCCGCGCUGCAUUAGCUAGUUGGUAAGGUAACGGCUUACCAAGGUAACGAUGCAUAGCCGACCUGAGAGGGUGAUCGGCCACACUGGAACUGAGACACGAUCCAGACUCCUACGGGAGGCAGCAGUAGGGAAUCUUCCGCAAUGGGCGAAAGCCUGACGGAGCAACGCCGCGUGAGUGAUGAAGGUCUUCGGAUCGUAAAACUCUGUUAUUAGGGAAGAACAUAUGUGUAAGUAACUGUGCACAUCUUGACGGUACCUAAUCAGAAAGCCACGGCUAACUACGUG